rnacentral:SRP_RNA from 1 species
GCCGGGCAUGGUGGCUCAUGCCUGUAAUCCCAGCACUUUCGGAGGCCGAGAUGGGUGGAUCACCUGAGGUCAGGAGUUCCAGACCAGCCUGGCCAACAUGGUGAAAACGCAUCUCUA